AACCAAAGAGAGCACAGCCUGGUAACCAAACCAUGAGAACAGCCAGGUAACCAAACCAGAGCACAGCCAGGCAACCAAACCAUGAGAACAGCCAGGUAACCAAAGAGCACAGCCAGGUAACCAAACCAGAGCACAACUGGGCAACCAAACCAGAGCACAGCCUGGUAACCAAACCAUGAGAACAGCCAGGCAAACAAACCAGAGCACAACUGGGCAACCAAACCAGAGCACAGCCAGGUAACCAAAGAGAGCACAGCCUGGUAACCAAACCAGAGCACAGCCAGGCAACCAAACCAGAGCACAGCCAGGCAACCAGACCAUGAGAACAGGCUGGUAACCAAACAAGAGCACAGCCUGGUAACCAAACCAGAGCACAGCCUGGUAACCAAACCAUGAGAACAGCCAGGCAACCAAACCAGAGCACAGCCUGGUAACCAAACCAUGAGAACAGCCUGGUAACCAAACCAGAGCACAGCCUGGUAACCAAACCAGAGCACAGCCUGGUAACCAAACCAGAGCACAGCCAGGCAACCAAACCAGAGCACAGCCUGGUAACCAAACCAGAACACAGCCAGGUAACCAAAGAGCACAGCCAGAUAAACAAAUGAUGAGAACAGCCAGGUAACCAAACCAUGAGCACAGCCAGGCAACCAGACCAGAGCACAGCCUGGCAAACAAACCACCAGGACAGAGCAAUCUCAGCAGGUCAGUGGCUGCCAUGUGUUUCUCCCUAAUCUGCGAGCGCUUUUCGUUUGCCUCAUUCUUGGCAGCCGUCGUAUUUACCAAAGAGAUCAGACACGGACAGAUGAUGGCAGAGAUCCAGGCUCCUUGAGAGUUCAGCACUUGGAUGUUGGCAGCAAAUAAAGAUAUAUGGGUUGCUGUUGUUGGUUCAAACUUA